rnacentral:rRNA from 1 species
UACGGAGGGUGCGAACGUUAAUCGGAAUUACUGGGCGUAAAGCGCGCGUAGGCGGUUCGACAAGUGGGAUGUGAAAGCCCUGGGCUCAACCUGGGAACUGCAUUCCAAACUAUCGGGCUAGAGUGUGGUAGAGGGAGGUGGAAUUUCCUGUGUAGCGGUGAAAUGCGUAGAUAUAGGAAGGAACACCAGUGGCGAAGGCGGCCUCCUGGACCAACACUGACGCUGAGGUGCGAAAGCGUGGGGAGCAAACAGGAUUAGAUACCCCCGUAGUCC